rnacentral:rRNA from 1 species
GACGAACGCUGGCGGCGUGCCUAGUACAUGCAAGUUGAGCGCUGAAGGUUGGUACUUGUACCGACUGGAUGAGCAGCGAACGGGUGAGUAACGCGUGGGGAAUCUGCCUUUGAGCGGGGGACAACAUUUGGAAACGAAUGCUAAUACCGCAUAAAAACUUUAAACACAAGUUUUAAGUUUGAAAGAUGCAAUUGCAUCACUCAAAGAUGAUCCCGCGUUGUAUUAGCUAGUUGGUGAGGUAAAGGCUCACCAAGGCGAUGAUACAUAGCCGACCUGAGAGGGUGAUCGGCCACAUUGGGACUGAGACACGGCCCAAACUCCUACGGGAGGCAGCAGUAGGGAAUCUUCGGCAAUGGACGAAAGUCUGACCGAGCAACGCCGCGUGAGUGAAGAAGGUUUUCGGAUCGUAAAACUCUGUUGGUAGAGAAGAACGUUGGUGAGAGUGGAAAGCUCAUCAAGUGACGGUAACUACCCAGAAAGGGACGGCUAACUACGUG